ensembl:lncRNA
ACUUAAUUUUUCUAUGCUCUGCAUGGGCAAGGUCCCCGCGCGAAUGAAUGCAUGUGGUCUGUUCUGAAAUGUUUAUUACAAGUCUCAUUUGCGCCAUUCAAUAAGGUAAAGAGUGGUAACCCUCCUUCUGGCUUUCACUAUUUACCCCUUCUAUCCUUUCACCCCCACCCUACCCCUGCACCCGUCCACCCUCCUUGCCUUCUGAAUUAAUUUGAUACUAUUUUUGAAAGUCAGUGUUUCUAAGGGAUACCUAAUGACGCAGUGACGUCAAUGCAGGUCAAUAGCACACUGGUUGAGAGGAGCGUGCUGCCAGCUGCGCAUGCAGGCUAUGGCAGAGUGCUGGAGAACUUCCCCCAAAAGCUAUUGUGUGUACGUGAAAAAAACAGCGUCUUUCACGUUUAAUAAACACACAGUCUUCUUCAAUGCGCUCAAAUCCUCAGAACGUUUCAAAAUACUUCGUGAAACAACUAAAUUCCAACUUCUCACUGGAAGUCUGCCAAGGAAUGGUGCUAUAAAGCGAGAUAGGAUCUGUAGAGUGCGAUAUCCUCACACUUUUUUGUACUUCUCCCCUCGAUCUAGGAGGAGCAGAGAGGUCGGGACGCAUCCAGUCCAAUCCCAUGACCAAUGGCAGGACUAUCGUCUUUUCUUUUAUAACCCGCGUGGUUCCAGUACGUAACACGAUGUUCUCGCCUUCCAUUCCAGUCUCGCCACCAGAGUGCCAACACAAAACACUUCGCGACAAACAGAAAACUGAACCAACACGGUAUGUGACCCAUUUUCUUCGUCCUGACACAAAAGGAGCGGUUUGAUGCUUUUUUGUCUAUCUUGCUCUUUUUCAGUUUCUUGAACCAAGUCGAACGAGUUACCAAUAACUGCAGCUACUGGUCAGGACCAUGGAGAGCGCCGCGUCCAGAUUCCUCUCAGUUCUAUUGCAAUGGAGCACUGGGAUUAAAAGAGUAUAGGAGCAACGUCCCAAAAUCACCAAGGCAGGAUGGGUUCCCUUUCUUGGUAAGUACCAUUUUCACGUGUAACGUUCACGUACCUUCCUCUAUUCAUUUUUUGCAUGCGCGGGAGCACGUAUUUUAUAUUAUGCUGUUUUUGGCUUUGCAUAGGUAUAAGUAUAGGGCAUGCAUGUGUGUGCACGGACCCCUGCGAUUUCAACGAGAAUAGCCAGUUUCUGCAGUAGAGGAAUCACCCUAAUGGUAAAUAUGUGAAUGAGAAGCAACUGCAAACUCCUUUGUCUGACGGCGCUGUUGAGUCUCUUUCCACAUUUCUCUCUCUGCAAGUAUGUUAAGGAAGGGACUGGAAUCCUCCUUUGAUGAAGUAACCAAUUACAUGCUCUCAUAUUUUAAGACAAGGACUAUAAUACAUCGUUGAUGGAAAAACAACAACGGAAAUAUACUGGCGGACUCUGAACUGCAAAAAACGCUGACCGAAUAGGGAGGGGGUUGUAAGGAGCUGUCCAAGCGGUGGUGGUGCUGAAAAUAUGUUUUGAGGCACAGGGAAAUAGGAGGGGAUGGGUUAUCGUGUAGUGUCCUGCAACAAAAUCACGAUUAUCAGGAGAGCAACAAAUAGAUAAAUUAUAGAAUAGAUUGAUAGAAAUGAACAAUGUCUGCUUGUCUGAUGGAAACUAGAGGAGCUAUGGACGACAGCGAGUGUUUGAAACUCGCAAUUAAGUGACAUACGUCGGAAAAGCUCAAGUUGGCUGCUAGUGCAUACAGCAGUUUGCUGAUCUUCCCGCCUGCGAUGUUUGAACUGUAUUAUCAGAUGAUGUGCAGGAAAACAGAGAAGCUAUAGGCGGGCUGACUUCCAUUACUCUUCCGCCCACGUCAUGUAUGUCUUUAGUGCACCAUACUUAGACGAAAUCAUCUUCUACUGGGUGCUCGUCUAAUAGUUUCCACGCACGCCACUCGUGAAGCCUUGAAAGAUAAAUGUGUUUGUCUAUCGUGGAUUCUUCCCUGCAAAAAACCGAUAGAGUCUAAAAGCUUUAAAUGUAAAGCGGUAUCGUAGGCAUCGCCACGCAAAUAGUAAAAUAGAUUAACUCUAUUCUUAAAACGAUCAGAAUGUGAUCAUUAUGUUCUCCAAAAGAAACAGCAGUACCCAUUCAUUUUAACUUUGCGUAGCACUAAUAAGGCGUAAAGAUCUCUAAUCUCAGCCGUACAGUUCGUCAAUGAUUUUAUCCUCACUCACUAGCUAGACAGUCAACGACUGAGCAUCGCUAACAGCUCUGUGCAUUAAUAACUCCCCAGUACCUUCUAAAGUCAGUCCUCUUCUGAAUAAUUCCCAUGAUAUCCAGACAGAAUGAGCUUUUAGGGAAAAAGUUUGUCUGUCUCUGAUCCAAAUAGAUCAUAAAUACAUGGUUUGCUUUGUGAUGUAUGGCCAUGUCCUGUGAGAAGAAACUACAGAGAUCAACUUCUUAAAUCCACUCGUUUUUGUCUAAUGAUCAUAACCUAGACAGAGGUGAUAUCGUCUUAAAUAAUUCAAUGCUGGCGGUGUCAUUUUAGUGGAAACAACACGGCUUCUGGAGUCGUGACUGCUAAAGUGAGUAAUAUGCGCGCGUUGGCUGCGUCAGGAGAGGCAGUCACUGUGCAGUGCAGACGGAGGGGGGGAAUCGUGACUGACUGGAGACGUCCGCAAAUGAAAAGACUAAAUAAAACUCUCAUCAGGAUAUCAUACGGGGCCGAAUUUUUCACAUGUUCAUGCCUGGCCUGAAUUCCUCUCCAUGUCCACUCCACUGCCCCUGCACCAACAAAGAGAGGAGGGGAUUUCUCAUUUUUCAUGGGGCGGUUGAGGGGAGUCUUAGUUCGGGAUGAAAUCAGACACAGAAGGAGGGAGGGGGUUGAUCCAGAUAUAGAUCGUGACCCUCCCACUUGGUACAGUUACUUGUACACCAUGUCAAGAAUGGAAUGCCUGGGCAUGUUAUGGGGCGUUUUGAUAGAUCGACUGGUCAAUUCAAAGUUGGAACAGUGAGAAAAGGACGCCAAAAGUAAGUACGAUUAUAUUUUAUCCUGUCCCUAUCCAACCUGUUUUUUUUAAGUAAAUAAAAGAAUUGAUAUUCAACAUAAGUCUUGUCGUACAGUAUUCAUUAGUAGCAAAUGCUGCAAGUGUUCAGUGUCACUGUUAUAUGUACUGAUAUGUUGUCACGCAUGUUGGCAUAUUUAAUGCUCUCACUAUUGUUAUUAUUAUUGCUGGUAUUAAUCAUCUGUUUAAUACCAUCUUAGUUCAUUACGUUAGACUGUUGUAUGCAUAAAACUUUAAAGGGCUGUGAGGGGAGUUUAGAGACCCCCUUGUCCUCACUUAGUGGUAUCCUCCAGUGAACUCUCAGUGUACAUGCAAUGAAAUCGCUUCAGAGGCUUGUCAUGUUGUUGUUGUCGUGCAGGGGCGGUGUGGUGCCUUCCACACUUGAAUUACAUGCAUUAGACGCUGCAACGUUCUGCUAUUUUUCGUUCGUAAAGGCUUCGACGUCAUGUGGGAUAAUCCGUAAAAAUACUGUUCAUCGUGACUAUAGCUUGCUCUCAAAAGCAUUUGAAAUCGCAACUGCUUCUCGGUCGCUAUUGUGAAUGUGGUUUGUUCAACGAUGUAUCGGUGGCGAAUCCCGAAACAGAUAUAAACAAGGAAUGAUGUAAUUCCUGUAGUAUAGACAUGAACAUAGCCUACACAUGAACAGCUGCUUUGUAUACAGCGCUAGACUAAUGUAUUUAUCUAGAGUCUUGCGCCAACUAGGAUACAAUUUGCCCCCCCCCCCCUCCCCUUUUUUUUCAAAAAGGGGGGUCCCUAUCUGACCGAUUGGUGGAUGACGAUUUUUUGUUUGCUCCAAUAAGAUCCCUCGCUGCUCUCUAUUUAUUGCGAACAGAUUACAGACUGCUCUCUCCUUACCCAGAGCACUCCAGCGGCUAUAGCGGCUCAGUUCAGUAGCCUACUGGAUGACAGCAAGAACGAAGGAAAUAAAACCUAACAAAAUACACUGGUGCUCACAGAGACUGAGAACUUAAUGAUACAAUUAACUAAUAAGGCGUAUGACAGGCGUCCUUCAAAAUCAAGCGAGCUGAAACAAUACCCUAUUAGACUGGAUCGUGGGCAGAUAGAGGAAAAAUAUAAAGUGUAACAGGAGAAUUUUCAGCACCACGGACAGCGCUAGAUGGCAGUUCGCUGGCAGUGGGAUAUUUGCCUCAGUGGAAGUCCUCUGUUCGCUUAAACUGAAAAUGAGUUGGAGACGCACUUGGGUGCACAAAACGUUGAUGUGCCAUGGUGUUUCGAUGGAUGCAGGGAAUAUGUUGUGAAGACAAGUCAGA